GGAAACGACGUCUAAUACCGGAUACGAACCUCAACCGCAUGGUUAGGGGUUGGAAAGAUUUUUUGGUCAAGGAUGGACUCGCGGCCUAUCAGCUUGUUGGUGAGGUAAUGGCUCACCAAGGCGACGACGGGUAGCCGGCCUGAGAGGGUGACCGGCCACACUGGGACUGAGACACGGCCCAGACUCCUACGGGAGGCAGCAGUGGGGAAUAUUGCACAAUGGGCGCAAGCCUGAUGCAGCAACGCCGCGUGAGGGAUGACGGCCUUCGGGUUGUAAACCUCUUUUAGUAGGGAAGAAGCGAAAGUGACGGUACCUGCAGAAAAAGCACCGGCUAACUACGUGCCAGCAGCCGCGGUAAUACGUAGGGUGCAAGCGUUGUCCGGAAUUAUUGGGCGUAAAGAGCUCGUAGGCGGUUUGUCGCGUCUGCUGUGAAAACUGGAGGCUCAACCUCCAGCCUGCAGUGGGUACGGGCAGACUAGAGUGCGGUAGGGGAGAUUGGAAUUCCUGGUGUAGCGGUGGAAUGCGCAGAUAUCAGGAGGAACACCGAUGGCGAAGGCAGAUCUCUGGGCCGUAACUGACGCUGAGGAGCGAAAGCGUGGGGAGCGAACAGGAUUAGAUACCCUGGUAGUCCACGCCGUAAACGUUGGGAACUAGAUG
rnacentral:rRNA from 1 species